rnacentral:lncRNA from 1 species
AACAGGCUGCGAGAGAGUGGCGAGGCCACCUUUACAGCUGAGGAAAGAUCUAGAAAGGUGAAACCUCCAGAGAUGGAGGGAUCGUAAGAAGUCUGGACUGUCCUACCUGACUCAGGGCUAGAUGCCCUGACUGCAGUCUCGUGCACUCUUCAGCACAACCCCGGGGAACAUUCCUAUCUCUUUUGCAGAAGGAGGAGAUGGAAUUGUGGCACCUCUCUGGGUCAUCUGGAUAGGGCCUGUGCAUAUGAGUACGGGUGCCCAUGGAGGCCAGGAGAUAGCAUCGGAUCCCUUGAAGCUGGAGUUAUAGGUUGUUGUGAACCGCCUGAAGUGGUUGCUGAGAACGACACUCUGGAUUUCUACAAGAAGACUAUGCACUCUUAGCUGCUGAGCUAUCUUUUUAGCCUUCCAGAAUCACAUUUCUUUUAAAAAAAAACUACAUUACAUAUAUAAAUAUAUGCAUAAAAAUUUAAAAUGAUGU